UACGAAGGGUGCAAGCGUUACUCGGAAUUAUUGGGCGUAAAGAGCUCGUAGGCGGUUUGUUGCGUCGGCCGUGAAAACCUGCAGCUUAACUGUGGGCCUGCGGCCGAUACGGGCAGACUUGAGUUCGGUAGGGGAAGACUGGAAUUCCUGGUGUAGCGGUGAAAUGCGCAGAUAUCAGGAGGAACACCGGUGGCGAAGGCGGGUCUCUGGGCCGAUACUGACGCUGAGGAGCGAAAGCGUGGGGGAGCGAACAGG
rnacentral:rRNA from 1 species